rnacentral:rRNA from 1 species
GACGAACGCUGGCGGCGUGCCUAACACAUGCAAGUGGAGCGACGAACCAGGGCUUGCCCUGGGGCAAAGCCGCGAACGGGUGAGUAACACGUGGGUAACCUGCCCCGAUGACCGGGACAACCCGAGGAAACUCGGGCUAAUACCGGAUGUGCUCGCCGGACAUAAGUCCGUCGAGUAAAGGUAGCUUCGGCUUCCGCAUUGGGAGGGGCCCGCGGCCCAUUAGCUUGUUGGUGGGGUAACGGCCUACCAAGGCGACGAUGGGUAGCUGGUCUGAGAGGACGAUCAGCCACACUGGGACUGAGACACGGCCCAGACUCCUACGGGAGGCAGCAGUGGGGAAUCUUGCGCAAUGCGCGAAAGCGUGACGCAGCAACGCCGCGUGGGGAAGAAGGCCUCGGGUUGUAAACCCCUUUUCAGGAGGGACGGAGGUGCGACGGUGAAUAGCCGCUCGCACUGACGGUACCUCCACAAGAAGCUCCGGCUAACUACGUGCCAGCAGCCGCGGUAAUACGUAGGGAGCUAGCGUUGUCCGGAAUCAUUGGGCGUAAAGCGCGCGUAGGCGGCCCGGUAAGUCCGUUGUGAAAGUCAAAGGCUCAACCUUUGAAAGCCGAUGGAUACUGCCGGGCUAGAGUCCGGAAGAGGCGAGUGGAAUUCCUGGUGUAGCGGUGGAAUGCGCAGAUAUCAGGAGGAACACCUAUAGCGAAGGCAGCUCGCUGGGACGGUACUGACGCUGAGGCGCGAAAGCGU